AACAUUACACACUAAAAAAAGAAAAAAAUCACCCUCACCAAGAUUUCCCUGAGAAGAUGCCUUGAGCUUUUUCAAAACAAGUACCGAAGUUCAAACAGCAGGCGUGAAGUGAAGUUUCUGAUUAAACAUUACUUCUAUGUCAUUCCUGACAAAACGGAAAGCAUUUAUUGUCAUGAAAGACACAGAAUAGCACUUUAAUUCUGCCUAUUGCUGGUUCCACAUGGAAGCUGUCAUAAUUUAGUGUAAUGUUAAAGAGGAAAUGCUUUCCAUAUGCCCUACUUUUGUGCCAGCUAGCAGAUGUUCGGAGAUGAAAAUUGUCCUCUUUAAGGAGUUUAUAAACAUUAGGAGCAGCAAAAUGGCACAGAAACGCAAUAUAAGUCACUAAUCAAUUUGUGUGCUUUCUGCCGGAGAUAUUGAAGUUGAGAGAUUAUACUUACAUGAUUGGUUCCAGAACCAAGUGCGUUGCCUAAAUGGCUCUAAGAGAAAGCUAAACUCAUAAGCGACUGAUUCAGAACACGUUUUAUGCAGCAACUCCAUAGAAAUAAUAUUCAUCACAUGACGUGCACAAGAGACUUUACUCAAUUGAUCACAAUACAGUUUUACAUUAGCAUGCUGCCAAGUUAAUAUGUGAAACUCUUAUGCGCAGAAAAAUACAUGGCUCACAGUGAUGUAAGUUAAUUUAAAAAAAAAAAAAAUGAUAUAACCUAUCUUGAAAUUCAGUGAUACCCAUGUGCAAAAGAAGUGUGUUUAUUUUAUUGAAUCGUUGACAGAAUUAUCUGGCAAGUGAAAAUUGCAAAUAUGAUUUGAAAAGUAAGUUACUGACUCACAUGAUUUGAGGUAACAUUCAUAUUCGUAGCACAAACGGUGUGCAGUAGUGCUUCCCUUAGCAAACAUGGCUACGGUUAGCUAAAAGAAUUAGAUAGGUUUAACGAACUUAAUUAAUCUCGUAAAUUAAUUCAUCAACUCUGCCAGCACUAAUAUUUUCACAUCACAAUACGUGUGAGAACAUAGAAAAUGAAAGAAAUGGUGAAAGGAAGAAAGAAAGAAGAAUAAAAACAAAAACAUCCCAGUGGCUUGUAUCCUGAGGGAAAUGAGGACAGAGUCCUGUUAUAAAUCUCACUCGCUCUUCACCCAGUGGACUCUGAAUGAAGAUAUUUGAUGUAACGUAGUGCUCUCUGCUCUUCUAUCUCUCCUGAGGGCAAGAAGUCACCGUCAAAAUAAACUUCCCUGUCAGACACUCUCAUUUCCAGCCUUCUCCUGAAUGAUGUCAGGCUUUUCUCUUUUGGAUAAAGGUAUGUGCACCGGGAUGACAGACGAAUAAAAGCAAUCACUGGUAUCUUCAAAUCACAACGUCAGCGCCAAUGAACGCGGCCAAAUACAUACUCCGCGCAAGUACAUAAAUGCAAACGCUUCUAGCUACAGAAGCUCAAUUUCACGCGUCGUUGCGUUCUGAAAGGUGUCAGAACAGAAUUCGUACCAAAACUACUUGCAGUCUCAGCUUUGCCACAAGGGCCGGUAUAACGGCAUUAUUGUAAACUGUAUAAGUCAACUACUGCCAAGAGAAUGUGAGCUAAAAUGCGUUAAUCUGCCCAUUUUGCUAGAUAGCUCAGCUGUUUUUAAAAGUGUGAACAUUGAUUUUUCUAAAAUAGUCUGAAUGUAAUUAGCUAUUUUAUUCUACUUUUGUAUGAUGAUUAGCUUUUAGCUUAGCAAAUGCCUGGUUCAGAUGAAGCAGUGAGUGUUGUAUUGGCUGUCCUGUGUUCAGAAAAAAGUACAAAAAAGAAAGUAAACACUCACAAACUACAUUUCCCAUAACUCACUGCCCGGACUCAUCAGCUCUCAUCUCAUUCACCUGUUUCUCAUUAUCUUGUUUAGUUCAUACCAUAAAUACAUGGUUUUCACAUUCACUUAGUGCAAAGUCUUGUUUUACUGUUAGUGGCAAUUCUGAGCGGUUUCCCGCCCAUGUCUGAUUCCUGUGUUUUUGACCCUGGACUGUUUCUCUUGAUUCUGAUUCUUGCUGCCUGCCUCGACCCUCUGCCUGUAUCUGGUUUGUCUCUGCCUUGCCUCCAUUGCUCUGUUUGCUGUUGUUGAUCCCUGCCUGUUUGAUGAUUCUUCAAUAAAUACUGCGUAUGGAUCCCCUGGUGUCUGCUGCCUCAUAACACCUGGAUUGCUCGAGGAGGACCGUAUGGGCUGUCAAUCCUCCAAAGAGAACUUGAGAUGUCGGCUGUCUUCACUGAUGUUGAUGCAAUUAUAGGCAAGCUGUUUGAAAGGAACAAUUCAAACACGGUGUUGGAAAACGAUUGAGCACUUGUGUACAAAGCUCUGUGCUUGCCAAAGAGCAGACGCAGCACAGCAUCACGGGACGUCGCCUAACCCAAAUGUUUCAGCACUGCAAUAACACACAGCUUGGUCAACUCCUCAGUUGGCGGAGCGCCUAGCUGUAGCGCUGGAUACCCCUCUGUUGACGGCCCUCUGACUCCUCCGCCCCCUGGUGGAUGGUCAACGGCUCCUCCAGCUUUGGGCACCCGGCAGUGAGUCCUCCGUUCCCUGCUCCUCCCCAUCAUGUCUCCAGCCUCAGGCAAACAGCUGCUACUCUUCCGCUCCCUCUAAUACGGUAGCCGUCCCUCCACAUCCCAGGCGGAUUGCAGCAAGUUCGUCUUUCCCUUCCGGCAAGUCACUCCAACCCACCGCCACGAGCGUCCAUGUCUGCUCAGACUCUCCUCAGCCGAGCUUGAUGUCAUCACUCCUCCUUUUCUCCUUCCGGAGCUCCUCCGUGAGACUCAAGACCAGUGUGGCGUGCAGAUGACACUCAUUAGCACUCACGCUCCGUUCCCUCGGCUCUCGGCCCUGUCCUGCUUGUUACACACGUGCUUCAGACACCAGUCACAUUGGAGGCAUUCCCCAUAGCAUCUAAUUCAGACACAGUGUGAGUUCCCAUUGAAAAAGGGAACCCAUUGAUCCAUGUAAUUGAUGCAACAAAGGCCAAGCCUCAGUCAAUUCACAAUAAUUUCAACUCAAGUAUAUUUUCUUCUGUAAGAACGGCACGAUUCUGGAUUGUUGAUGCUUCUCAAAGAAAUGUAUUUAAGGCAAUUCAGGCGUAAGUGGGACCUGUAUUACAUAUUUACACAAUUUUCAGCAGAAAAUCACAAUUUAAGUAUCUCAUUUCCACCAUUCAAUCCCAAGACAUUUUCGGACUAUCUCAUAAAGUGAACUAAUAAACCCAGUAAUCAGCCUCCCUCAAUGGACAUUGUGUGUGACAGCCGGAAGGCAGGUCCCCUAAUUCCCAGUAAUGGCUGGUUAUUGCUGAAUAUAUCUUUGAGAAUGGAGGAAAUAAUGGGACAUGCUGCUCUUGGGUGCCCAUAUAAUCCAGCCAUUAGAAUUUAAUGUGAGUUAGCCCUUAUG